AAAGACAUAAUAUCAUGAGAAAUAAUUGUUGUGUUGUGGUGGAUUAUAUUUUGAAAAAUUUGGUUUUGUGGAAGGUGGAGGAUAGAAUUGAGUAAGAAUGUUAUAAGGUUGGUGAUGAUGUUACUUUGAUUCGCAUCUUUUAGUCACUUAGCCAAAUAUAUCCUACCUUGCCAAAGAGCCUACAUUACAACCCUCAAUAAAGACCUUUUUGAUCUUGGUUAUAAGAGCACACGUUAAGUGGUGGAGAGGUGAGACAAUUGACAAGCUUAUGGAUGAGUACUUGUGUUGCUUGAAUUGAGCGUAUACACGUCCAUAUUUUUGAUUGAUACACUUGAGAGUUGAGAGAUCUUAAAUUCUUUAUCUUUUUGGUGAGGAUUUGUAACACCCCGUACUUUUCCUAUGAUGUGAGAUAGUGUCUUAACACUAUUAAGAGAACUGAGAUGUCGAGACGCGAGACUUUUUUUUUUAUGAUUAGAUAAGACAGUAUGUCUUUAAAUAGAGAUACGAGUGACUAAACCGAUGAUAGAGUUAGAAUGAUGAGAUUCGAGAAAUGAGCUGAGAUAGAGAUGCUGAUUGAAUUGGGUUGAGAUUUUAAUUUUAUUUCCGAUUACCGGGAAUAGAUUUAGCAGAUCCCGAGUUAUCAGAGAUUGACUGACCUAUUAAAGAGAAUAGGUAUAAUGAGUCUGACCUAGAGUCGAGGAAGAAAGAGUGAGAACCUUGAUGAAAAGAGUCGGUCCGAGAGAUGUCUAGUUUGUUUGGUUUGCCGACUGCUUUAAUGUGACAUUAUGUGAAAUUACGUGACUGAUCGAUUAUGUGAUUUUCGUGAUGUGUGUCACUGUGACCGAGUUAUUAUGAUUUUUAUUCGAGACCUUAGCAUUUGGAAUUUUGAUUAAGUUUCCAAAGCAAGUAUGGUUUAUUUUUAUCGAGAAAUCGAAUGAUGCCGGUUUAUGAAAAUUUUUCCGAGCAUAAUAUUUUUAAUUUAUUUUUUUUUUCCUACGGAGAGGAAUAUUAUAAUUGAGUGAGUGCACUAAUAAUAGUGCUAUAGUUAUUAUUUUGGUCACAUGAAUAAUUAUACUAUGGUAUUUUAUUAAUGAGUGACUUUUCCAUAGUUAUUGUGAUUUUUAUUUAAUCACCCUUCUCACACUUUAUUUUAAUUUCACUACCAUAUGUUAUAUGCCUUAAAUGACUAAGUAUGGAGUUGAGAGAGUAGAGAUUGAGAGUAUG
rnacentral:lncRNA from 1 species